UAGGGAAUCUUCGGCAAUGGACGAAAGUCUGACCGAGCAACGCCGCGUGAGUGAAGAAGGUUUUCGGAUCGUAAAACUCUGUUGGUAGAGAAGAACGUUGGUGAGAGUGGAAAGCUCAUCAAGUGACGGGUAACUACCCAGAAAGGGACGGCUAACUACGUGCCAG
rnacentral:rRNA from 1 species